rnacentral:lncRNA from 1 species
AGUCUAGUCUGUGACCUGAGCCAUCAUGGUAGGGUGUCCAGGGUGAGGGGAGGGUGGUGUGAAUCCCCAGUAAUGCAGGUCCUUUCCAGGCCAGGCCCCUGGUCCCCAGGAGUGCGGGGAUGCCUGAGGUCUACUGCUGCCUUAUCCAGAGCUGCCAUCCCCGGCGAUGACUCAGAGUUCCUGUGGCCCCAGCAUCAUCCCUCCAUCCCUGGCUGUGAGGCAGGAGCAGAGUUGCAGACCUGAGAGGCCUUGAAUUUGUUUGAUAUAGGACUUUGCCACCAGACAAAGUGCUUUGCCUGUGAGGUCUGGCUUGGCCUGGCCUCUGAGAAAGAACAAACACAGACCUCACUGGAAGGAACCUGGAGAACGGGAGAGGAGAGGCUGCUGCUGUCUGCCCUCCCAGCAGCAGAUAUAAAGACAAUGGGCUUCUAAGUCCCCUAGAGUCCCAGCUGUGUAAUUUAAGGCAAAUAUAAUUUCUGACCUACGUAAUGAUGUAUGCACAAGAAGCCUCUCUUGAAUGUAUUAAUUCAGUAAACAGUUAUGGAGUCCUUACAAUGUGCUAGUGGGACUUUGAAGAUGAAUCCAAAUUUGGAUCCUGGCCUGGAAAGGCUCAAAGCCCAAUAUGGGAGGUAGAAAACCCAUCAUCACUGGGCAUUGUCUUCCAGUGAUUCUGAGCAGAAACAAAGGGGAACGUAUGUCUUCAUUGUGACUCAGCGAGCAAAGAGAUGGAGUCUUUUCCAAGAAGAAAGUGGGAGAUUUGGGACCACUGACAUAUUUGGCCCACUGAUUCCAUUCCCCUAGACCAACACGUGUUCAUCAAAUUGCAUCACUCUUAUGGGGAACUUAAUGCAACUCCGGUGCCCAUUGCAUUAGUUUUUGAUGAUGGAAUUCUCUUUGUGAACUUGAACUUGAGGGGUCUGGCUACCCCUCUGAGACUUCUUUUUUGAGAUAAAAUCAUAUAACAUAAAAUUCGCCCUUUUAAUGUGUACAA